rnacentral:rRNA from 1 species
UACGAAGGGGGCUAGCGUUGCUCGGAAUCACUGGGCGUAAAGCGCACGUAGGCGGCUUGUUAAGUCAGGGGUGAAAUCCUGGAGCUCAACUCCAGAACUGCCUUUGAUACUGGCAAGCUUCGAGUUCGGGAGAGGGAUGCGGAAUUCCAGGUGUAGCGGUGAAAUGCGUAGAUAUCUGGAGGAACACCGGUGGCGAAGGCGGCAUCCUGGACCGAGAUUGACGCUGAGGAGCGAAAGCUAGGGGAGCAAACGGG